rnacentral:lncRNA from 1 species
AACUUUGGGUGUUAGUCUGUGUCCUGUUAUAAACUAUGAUGCCUUUCUAUCCUGAAAGUUAAAAUUCAACAAAAAAAGCUGAAAAUUAAUUUUGUUAGCAAAAUUUGAUGCCAUGUAAUUUUGUAAUCAUUUCCUGUUCCAGAAAAUUAGCCAAGCAACUAUCCGAGCCUAUUUGAAUGACUAUAGAUGGCAUUAUAGACCAGUUGAAAACUUGGAAUUCAGCUCCUCACAAGCACUAGUAUCAGAUAUUGCCAACCAGGCAUUCCUGUUAUAGCAAUUAGCAAAGCAUUAUCCUGCAAUGUGCAGUGGAACAAAUUAUCAGUAUUGGAGUUUGUUUAUGUUGUACCACCACGUUUUUACUUGCAGUACUCCCUCUGUCUCGGUUUAUAAGUCUUGCGCGUCAUUUUAGGUUGACAAUUUAACUAGCAAAAUACAUAUUAUAUUUGAUAAAAAAUAUAUAUUUAGAAACUACGUCCGCUUAAGAAUCCAAUGAUAUACUUUUGUUGACAUAUAACUCAUAUUUAGCUAGUUAAAUCGAUGAGCUAGAACUACGUGCAUGACCUAUAAACCGAGAGAGAGGGAGUAACAACUUUGAAUCUGUAGGGGGUAUUAUGUCUUGGUGUACUAAAGCGUUCUAGGCAGCAGAAAGCNNN